GAUCAUUCAGCAAGUGAAAGAGAAAGUGGAUUGAGAUGUAAGUAGACUUUUUCAUCAGCAUCUGCAUUCUGUGCUGGUAAUGCUCUCUGACAGUCUUAGGGAAUGUUUAAAAUAGGGAGGUCCUAAGGAAAAGCAGGACAUUCCAGAAUCACAUUAGAAACUGGGACAGCUUCUGUAAAUCUGGGAGUGUCCCUGGGAAAUGGGGGCACUUGGGGGGUCUGUUACCUGGCCUUUGACACCAGAGAGUUGUAUUUUCAAGACUUGCCCUGUUGACACCCAGUGCCCUUUUGUGUUGGGGGGAGGUUAUUGGGUUGUUUUGUUUUUAUUAUGUAUUUUGUAUUUUUAAAUUGUGAUCUUAUCCUGUGAACUGCCCUGAAACCUGUGGGUAUAGGGUGGUAUACAAAUUUAAUUAAUGACAACAACAACAAUAAUUUUAGAUGGUUGCAACUUGCCCUGGGACCUGCUGGUGAAGGAGGGUAAUAAACUGAAUAAAUACGCAAGAGGUGACUUUAGGUUCAGCAAUAUAGGACCAAAGAGGCAGAUAGUAGAUUAGAUAGCUAAUGCUCAGUAGGUGUAGGAACAACGGAAGCUUGAAUAUAAAGGAAUAAAUUUCAUUUUACAUAUUUGUAAAAAGCUGAAUGUGGAUUAAAACUUAGCAGCUUAGUAGCGUCAGUUGAGAGUAGUGUCAGUUGAGUGCUGGUGGUUGCUAGGUUGCGGAGGUCCUUGUGACACGCCCUUCAUUGUGACACCUCCCUCUGCUGGCUCAUUGGACCUCUAGAGGCAUAGCGAUCUCCUUUGGUUUGAUCAUUCAGCAAGUGAGAGAGAAAGUGGAUGGAGACGUAAGUAGACUUUCUCAUCAGCAUCUGCAUUCUGUGCAGAUAAUGCUCCCUGACAGUCUUAGGAAACAUUUAAGAGAUUAAGAUCAGGAAUAAUUUAAAUGCUUCAGCCAGCCCUUCUGGGCAUCUUUAUGACUCCACCCACUGUUUUGUAACAUCAAAUGAAAGGAAGUGACUGUGGGUUCUGCUUACACUUUAGGAAAAGGAAAACUAAUAACAUGUCAUGCCUUGCAGAAGGGCGUUCUUUCUGGGCUAGUGACAAAAGAGUCACUUGCUAACUCGCCAUGGGAGCAUUAAGAAUGCCCUCUGGAGAGGGUAAUAGAUCUUCCUCCCCUUCCUGCCUCCCAGGGCUCAUCUUUCAAAGGACAGCCAAGGUACAAAACCCUUCAGCAGGCUGCUGUUUCCUUCUAUAGUAUUAUUAGUAUGUGGUAUUUGAUGUUUCUCUUUUAAACUUCCCUUCUCCACAUAAGCAAAUCCACCUCUUUCAAUGAGAUGAUGAGAAUUGUCUUAUAAUAUCCAGUGGGUGCUAUUCUGGUAGAGUAUUCAAGCACUCUCUUCACAGGAUACCCAUUAUAAUAUGCCUAGGGAAGUGAAUUCAUCUUGAGCUUUGAGUCCUGAAUGCCCAAACCAGUUUAGGGAUUUAGAUCAGGAGAGUAUUGUGAGUCCCCUUUCUCACAUUUUAACCCUUUCUUCUUGUUUUGGUCCUGAGGAAAAUCUUCUCUUCAAAUCUGGUAUCUGAAUUGAGAGGAAAUCCCCCAUGGGUGCCAAUCCUGCACACUAAGUGUGAAUGAAUAUUGUGGCUCUUGUCUGUUUUCGGCCUACCAAAUAUUUGAGAGAUAGCUUUAUGGCUCCCUCUUGGUCUUAUUCAGUUUUCUGAACCAUUGCUUGGUUUUCUAAGGCUACGUUACAAACUUGCCCCAUAAAAACACUUGACAGCUAUGAAUUCCUUCCGUACGCCCUCACAUUUCCAUCUGACUCAUUUAUGAUAUUAUUAUCUUCCUGAAAUAAUUUGUAAACUGUGCGUGAUUCAUGCCUGGGAAUUAUUUCAUCCUACUGAUGUGGGUGGAGUAACCUCCCCCACCCCCUGUUAAGAAAUUCACCAAACAUUCCACUUUGAUGAAUAUGAAGUACAGAGCCUAAACUUUGCAAUUGUCCUUUUCUUGAUGGAUAUUCCGUUCUGGAUUUUCUGUACCCAGCAGGAGGUUGAAUUGGGUUCAGUUGGGCUCCCUCUGACAAAGGUGUGGGUGGCCUAACACUUUUUGUACGACAAGCUGAGAUUGGUUUUCGAAUGAAUUACUGCCCUUUGGUUUCGAAAGUUAUUUAGGGUGAAUGGGCAUCGCUGGCCAACCUCAGUCUCCCCUCAGCCUGCCCCCCAACCUGCCUACUUACAACCAGUCUAGCAGAUGACACUGCCCGUCAGCUUCAUGUUGGUGCUUGCCCCUUGUAGAACUCACCAGGGAGAUGAACGGGGACAAUACUAGAAUUAGAUGGCUGUACCUGCCAUUGGGCUCUCUACCUUCUGCCUGUCAGGAACUGGCUGUAUGAGGAAGUGUGGUGGGAACCGCCCGCCCAAGAGCCCCCCCCCCCGGGACACAGAAGACGACAACUUAGAUUCCCAGAUGGUGGUGGGAAACUGAAGAACAGUCUGUAGAAGGAUGAGCUGGGAGGUGCAAGAACCAUGGGGUUUGAGCUAUCAAGAGGGGAGCCGAACUAGAGGACUGUGCUGUGUUGUUAAUUUCUGUAAAUAAAUUGUAUUUUGUUCCUCCCAUGUGUGUGUCCUGGUCUGUGGUUGACCUGGCUCGUUGACAGCACACUGACACUGCCCUACCAGUCCAAGUGAGCGCUAGAUACUAUUGUAUUGGUGGUGAGAUUUCUUCCUCCCAACACGCACAACUUACAGAGGACAACCACUGGCAAUGAGAGACUGGUGUGCAGCAAAAGAAACGGGGAGAUCUGAUUAUCUGAACGUACUAGUCUGGAGGUCUACCAUGUUCUUCAAGUGAAUGGUAAGUUGAGCACAUGAGCUGCACUCUGUUACUUUUGGAUGCUGCCUCCACUGUAUAGAGUGGGCAUAGUUCUGAUACCUAACAUGUUGUAUACCAUCCACCUUUUAAUUGAUUCAUACUCGGUACUUUCCAGUAGCCUGGAGCGUUCGAUGGGAAGAUGGGAGACCUUUUGUGUUAUACUGUGAUAAUCAAAUGGGAGCAGCCGUUAUGGAAACAGCAAAGGGUGGUUCUAAAUGUCAUUCAUAUGAUGCAAAGGCUGCAAUUCAGGAUCCAAAAAAACAUUGCUUUUAAAAUUGUCUAGAUGAUUGUUGCUGCUUUGGUUGUGUUCUAUGUGAGCAGGAGCCUUCAAGGUUUACAGCUGACCCUUGAACAGCACAUUCCCUUUUCGCUGCAAACCUUGGGGGCUAGUAGCAUGGGCAACUCCUGUGUUUGUCAGGAAGAUAGUGGGGUAGAAGACAAUGCAGAAUGCAGAAGUCGCCAGACAGAGAACAGCAGAGUGCCGUAAUGUUGGUAGACAAGUACUUCCCGAAAAGACAUAUUGCCAUGGAUGAACCUUCCUUCUCUUGUAAAUUUCUGCGCUGCAAUCUGUGGAGACUGCUCUAAUGUCCCCCCUCCAAUGGCAUUAAAGUGGGCAACUUUGUGUUGGAAUUGGAAAUGUCUACAGAUGUUUCAGAAACAAUCCAUGAAUAAGAUAGUAGAUUUCUCUUGGGAUGCAGAUCAGGAGAGUGCUCAGGAGAGUGCUCUGGGUCCCAUUUCUCUUUCUUUUCUAGGCUUUCAAGACUGCAAAAAGUCUUAUCCCGCUUUGGGAAAAGAAGUAAGGUCUCACCCCUCCCAGAGACGUACCCCUCCCUUUCUCCCUCCCCUUCCUGCCUCCCAGGGCCCAUCUUUCAAAGGACAGCCAAGGUACAAAACCUUUCAACAUGCUGAUAUUCCUUACAUAGUAAUAUUAGUCACUAAGGUUGCUUAGAAAAGGUCUUUCUGCAACUCUCUGAGGCAUAUUUUGAAGUUCAGAUAAAUCAAAAUAACUUUUGGGACAAUGGAUGUUUGGGAAAACUAAGAAGAGUACAAGGGGAGUAGAUUCCUCUUGGUUUCUCCUCGCAAAUCUUAUGCUUUUUGAAUACCCCUCCAGCAGUUCAUUUUGACGUCCAAAGUUUUGUUUCAGUGAAAUUCAACUCUGUCCUGUAACCUUACACUGCCUGAUUCCAUUGAGUAGCAGCCACUGCAAUGCCUACACUAGUCGUGGGAGGAGAGCCAAAUGGCAAACUGUCCUUAUGUCAUGUUGAGAUUUCUACUGUUUCAACAGACACAAAAGCAAUAUACGAGAAGCUGCCUAAGGUCUUUGGAGGCCAGAGGUGGCUCUGCCACCUUUGAUGGCAGAAGAAAAGUUUCCUUAGGGACAGAAGGUGACAAUCCCCUUUGUGUGUUGGCAGUGCAUUGUAAGAUUGGGCAGUGCUUGCUAAGCAGGCAGUUAUUUAGGAAGGCUUUUCUCUAACCACUUUCCUAACUCGGCAAUUGGAGAUGUCUUCUUGUGCUCCUCCCCUGACUUUGAGUUGACUUGGCAAGCGAUGGGCUGCACCUCACAACGGUUGGGAGAAAUGUUUUUGCCAAAAAUCUCAGAAACCUCAUCAGGAGGGCUUUAAACUGACUAAUGUGGGGGAAGGAGACAGUGCUCCUGAAGGUAGGAGUCUAUCAAUUGAUGAAGAUGAUCAUCCAAAUGUUAUAGACCAAAUGGAGCAAACAGCACACAGACCUAGUGGGGGGAGGAAACUAUCCUUAAGUACGAGUCACGGGGGAGUGAUUAAUGGACUUCAAUGUCUGUACACUAAUGCGCAAAGCAUGGGAAAUAAACAAGAUGAGCUUGAGCUCUUGGUACAGCAAACUAAAUAUGACAUAAUAGGCAUCACUGAAACCUGGUGGGAUAAGUCCCACGAUUGGAAUGUAAUAAUGGAGGGAUACAAUCUAUUUCAGAGAAACAGACCAGACAAGAAAGGAGGAGGAGUGGCGUUAUAUGUCAGGCAUGUGUAUACCUGUGAAGAGAUCCAAGAUUUAGAACCUCAAAGCCAAAGUGAGAGCAUUUGGGUCAAAAUUAAGGGAGAGAAGAAUAACAGUGACGUCAUUGUGGGAGUUUACUAUAGAUCCCCAAGCCAAACGGAGGACAUAGAUGAUGCCUUCCUGGAACAGAUGGCCAAGCAUGCAAAAGGAAGGGAGAUAGUAGUAAUGGGGGACUUCAAUUACCCGGAUAUUUGUUGGAUGUCAAACUCAGCCAAGAGCAUAAGCUCAAACAGAUUCUUCACUGGCCUUGCAGACAACUUCAUUGUCCAGAAAGUGGGAGAAGCAACAAGAGGAACAGCCAUUUUAGAUCUGGUCCUAACCAAUGUUGAUGACCUGGUUAGUGGGGUAGAAGUGGAAGGAUCAUUAGGCACGAGUGAUCAUGCUCUUCUGAAGUUUACUAUACAGCAGAAAGGAGCAGCCAAGCAUACUAGGACUCAAUUUCUUGACUUUAAGAAAGCCGACUUCAUAAAACCUAGGGAAGUGCUGGGUGAGAUCCCAUGGACAGUAAUACUAAAAGGAAAGGGAGUGCAUGAUGGCUGGGAGUUUGUUUAAGAGGGAGAUAGUAAAAGCACAACGUCAGGCAAUACCAAUGAGACGGAAACAUGGAAGGUGCCUAAAGAAGCCAGGGUGGCUAUCUAAAGAACUUUUAACUGAGUUAAGAUUUAAAAAGGAUGUGUACAAAAAAUGGAAAAGGGGGGAAACCACCAAAGAGGAAUUCAAACAAAUAGCCAGCACGUGUAGACACAAAGUCAGAAAAGCUAAAGCACAGAAUGAACUCAGGCUUGCUAGAGAGGUUAAAAGCAACAAAAAAGGCUUUUAUGGGUAUGUUUGUAGUAAAAGGAAGAACAAAGAAACAGUGGGGUCACUCAGAGGAGAAGAUGGUGAAAUGCAAACAGGGGACACAGAAAGGGCUGAACUCCUCAAUGCCUUCUUUGCCUCAGUCUUCUCCGAUAAAGAAAACAAUGCCUGACCUGAAGAAUUUGGAGCAAAUGAUUCAGCAAUGGAAACACAGCCCAGAAUAACUAAGGAGAUAGUACAAGAAUACUUGGCUAGUUUAGAUGUAUUCAAGUCUCCAGGGCCAGAUGAACUGCAUCCAAGAGUAUUAAAAGAACUGGCAGAUGUGAUCUCAGAACCACUGGCAGUCAUCUUUGAGAAUUCCUGGAGAACAGGCGAAGUCCCGGCAGACUGGAGGAGGGCAAAUGUUGUCCCUAUUUUCAAAAAGGGGAAAAGAGAGGACCCAAAUAAUUACCGCCCAGUCAGUCUGACAUCAAUACCAGGAAAGAUUCUGGAGCAGAUCACUAAGUAAACAGUCUGUGAGCACCUAGAAAGCAAUGCUGUGAUCACCAAUAGUCAGCAUGGAUUUUUGAAAAAUAAGUCAUGUCAGACUAACCUGAUCUCGUUUUUUGACAGAAUUACAAGCCUGGUAGAUGAAGGGAACGCAGUGGAUGUAGCCUACCUUGAUUUCAGCAAGGCAUUUGACAAGGUGCCCCAUGAUAUUCUUGUCAAGAAGCUGGUAAAAUGCGGCCUUGACUAUGCUACCACUCAGUGGAUUUGUAACUGGCUGACUGACCGAACCCAAAGGGUGCUCAUCAAUGGUUCCUCUUCAUCCUGGAGAAGAGUGACUAGUGGGGUGCCACAGGGUUCUGUCUUGGGCCUGGUCUUAUUCAACAUCUUUAUCAACGACUUGGAUGAUGGACUCAAGGGCAUCCUGAUCAAAUUUGUAGAUGACACCAAACUGGAAGGGUGGCUAACACCCCAGAGGACAGGAUCACACUUCAAAACGACCUUGACAGAUUAGAGAACUGGGCAAAAACAAACAAGAUGAAUUUUAACAGGGAGAAAGGUAAAGUAUUGCACUUGGGCAAAAAAAAUGAGAGGCACAAAUACAAGAUGGGUGACACCUGGCUUGAGAGCAGUACAUGUGAAAAGGAUCUAGGAGUCUUGGUUGACCACAAACUUGACAUGAGCCAACAGUGUGACGCGGCAGCUAAAAAAGCCAAUGCAAUACUGGGCCUCAUCAAUAGGAGUAUAGCAUCUAGAUCAAAGGACGUAAUAGUGCCACUGUAUUCUGCUCUGGUCAGACCUCACCUGGAGUACUGUGUCCAGUUCUGGGCACCACAGUUCAAGAAGGACACUGACAAACUGGAACGUGUCCAGAGGAGGUCAACCAAAAUGGUCAAAGGCCUGGAAACGAUGCAUUAUGAGGAACGGCUAAGGGAGCUGGGCAUGUUUAGCCUGGAGAAGAGGAGGUUAAGGGGUGAUAUGAUAGCCAUGUUCAAAUAUAUAAAAGGAUGUCACAUAGAGGAGGGAGAAAGGUUGUUUUCUGCUGCUCCAGAGAAGCGGACACGGAGCAAUGGAUCCAAACUACAACAAAGAAGAUUCCACCUAAACAUUAGGAAGAACUUCCUGACAGUAAGAGCUGUUCGACAGUGGAAUUUGCUGCCAAGGAGUGUGGUGGAGUCUCCUUCUUUGGAGGUCUUUAAGCAGAGGCUUGACAACCAUAUGUCAAGAGUGCCCUGAUGGUGUUUCCUGCUUGGCAUGGGGUUGGACUUGAUGGCCCUUGUGGUCUCUUCCAACUCUAUGAUUCUAUGAUUCUAUGCUUCUGUUGGUCUGCCUCUUUCUAAACUCCAGAUUGAAAGGAGUUUAAAGGAGAAAUAGACAUGAAGGGCAAUAUAGAAAUUUAAUAAAUAAUAAAAAUAUUACUAUUAGCAGACAAUAAAGCUCCCAGUGGCUACCAGUCAUAAUGAUACUUUCAGAAUCAAAUAAAGCCCAAUUUUGCCCAUUGCUUGGCAUAAUGGCCAGAAAUGGCUGAUACCCUUAUCCUGCCUGUGAAUUGCUGGUCUGGUCCAGCAAGGCUGCUCUGGUGAUAUUAUAUGUGCUGUACAAAUGUUUACAUAAUGGAUAAUGAUAAGUGGAAAGUUUCUGAGUGGGGUGAAGCCAUAAAGCCACUUUCAAAGACGCCUGGGUGCAUUCUCUGGUGACACAGGUGUCUUGAUAGGACUAUACCUUGCGAUGUUUGAAGUGGAUCUGAAUAUCCCUGUUGAACUGUUUUCAAUCAAUCAAUCAAUCAAUCAAUCUUUAUUACAGUCCAGAGACCCAACAAAUCGUUACAAAGCAAUGCACAAUUCAGACAGCCCACCUCCAGGUUAAACAAGCAUUUUGUUCAGACUUAAAGAUAGGGACCAUUGGUUCUUGCAGCCACUGAUAAAAACUUUGCCACUGCUAAUGUUCUAGCAUUUGUCCGGUCUUCCAAUAGGAACCUGACAUAGUGAGCCUCUGAUUUUCCCAGGAAAGGUACCAGCAAGGGUAAUAUCAGUUCAGCUUGCUCAUAUUUCACACAGUGCAGCAAAAUAUGUUUUAUAGAGUCGAUGUCUUGAGCACACGAGCCAAGUCUGUCCUGGUAGGGAACGCCUCUCAACCUACCAUCCAACACUGCAGAAGGAAAGACGUUUAGUCUGGCUUUGGAGAAUAACCUUCGAUAAUUUGGUACUGUCAGGUUUUUAAUGUAAGGUGUUAACUUAAAGACAUGCCCAUAUUAUACUCCAACUGCCAGCGGACUACUGACUGCGUGUGAUCGAGAUCGCAAGUCACUGUGUGUAUUAUCUCAUAAUCUUUGCUUUAACGUCUUUUGGGCGCCUUCAUAAUAAAGUUGGGCGUGGGGGUGACAGACCAAUAGAGGUGGCUUUUCUAGCCAUGGUUUUCUGCCAUUUGCUGACAAACUCCUCAUUUGUCAAAUGUUAGUACAAACCCUUCCCUAGAUCAAACACUGAAAUCCUGAGCCAAUGUUUUAGGGCAGCCCACCGUUGAACUGUUUUCUCUCUCAGCGUAGAGUGAACCACCCUGAGACCUGCGGGAAUUGGGCGGUAUAUAAAUUCAAUGAAUAAAUAAAUUCCUUGCUCCAUAUAAUAGGACAUUUCUGUGUACUGAGCACAUGCGUGGGGCACACAGAAAUCAGUACAGGUGACCAGGCAUGGGCAGAAAGCAUUCCAAAAAGGUUCCCACACCUGCUUCAGCUAAAAGCAACACAGCUUGGCAGACACAGCAAUAUGCUAUGCCCGAUGUCCUGUGAAUUAGGAGGACAUUCUUAUCUCCCCCAGAGGAUUUACUAGCACCAUGGAUUCUAUCCUAACAUCUAAUAAUGUGCCAAUUAACCAAGAUACCUUCAGGAUAAUUCCCAGAGCUGAAAGUGACCACUUUCCACUUGAGUUAUCUCUGACAUCAUUCGUUUCUCCUGCCUUUCCUAAAUUAUUGGAUGAAACGGAAUAUCUGAUACUUGGAAACACAAGGUUAAAAUGGAAUGCACAGGUCCAAGAAAAAAUUAUUCAGAUCCUGGAUUCCCAUGAAUUUGCUUUAUUAAAGGGGGAAAUGUUGUUAGAAACAGGAAACAUAAUCGGACUUUAUGAGAACAUAAUCAACCGAAUGAGCCCACUGAUGACCACAACUAGUGUGAUAAAAAACAAAGUUAAAGACCAGAAGGACAUUCUGUGCACCUCUUUCACAAAUCCAGGCCCAGAUCCCCAUUGCUUACUGGCCUGAAUCUGCAAUCAUUUUGCCACCCAAGGUGAAAAUGGAAUUUGCUGCAUGAAGGGGGCUUUGCAGCUCAAAGUCUUGAGCAUCAUAGCAUUUACCAAACCUCUACCCUGAAAGAUGCAAGCUCUGCUUGGCCUUCAAGCAGCAUCGUUUUACCUGGCUAGCAAUCAUUUUUAGGUCGUUUUGAAAUGAACCAACCAUCUGCUCUGCAUUUUUGACAGAUGAAUGGUUAUUGCUCAAAUAAUUUUCUCUGACACAUAAGAUACUUAUUUUUAACAGCUCGUUCUUGGGGGCUCAUUCUGAUGUAUCAUUUCGUGCUUACACAAUUAAGUCUGAAAGUCAUCCUGUGAAUAAUACACACAUGUUGGAAAGUUAUGGCAGAACGGGUUAAGAGCUGGCUUAACUUCUUCUUUUCCCCAGCACUGAUGCUGUGAGCAGAUCCUACAAAUAGUCUGUUAACAGGAUUCUGUCCAGAAGCAAUUGUUUGAGCUCAAAAGGGUAAGGUGGGGCUUAUUAGCUCUUCCCACAUGUACCUUCCUGCAUCUGCCAGCACCUGCUAUUCACCCAUUGUUCCUGUCCAAAAAAGAGGCCUGAUCUGAAAACAUGUGGUAUAACUUUAAGGGUCAGCCCAAAGCAUUUUGCUGCCUGAGAUGGACAAGAGAUGCUUCUAACAUCCCCAUUUCAUAUGCAGUAACAGAUCAGACAAUCUUACUUCAGCACUGUUUGGCGGGGCAGCAUCCUCCACCGUACCUGAGGGCAAUAAAAUUGCUUAAGAGGUACAUGGCAGGUCAAGAAGGGACUCACAGCUCAGUCCUCCAACAGCUGGGAACAGCCAGGGUUGGGGGGGUCAUGCCGCCACUGCCAUUUCCCCCCUUCCACACAUCCAGCAUCUGCUAGUUGAGGUGGUUUCACCCCACCUUGUCUAACUGAAGGGCCAGUCCUGGAAUUUACACAGCCUUGUUUGCACAUGCAUACCCGUCGCUGAUUCACUGUUAGAUCCAACUCCACCAACAGACUUUUCAUAUCACCUCAUCUUGCUUCAGACAGUCUUUCUCACUGAAGUCCAUCCACACACAAUUCACCUCAAGGGGUCCCCCCCCCCAUCCUGUGCUAAUUAGCUGCUCAAAGCCACCAAAUGUUUCUGCUAGCACCAACGCCACCAUCUUAAUUAGUUGUAACCAGGGCUUUGUAACCAGGAUCUCACCAGAACUCUGUUCAGGCACCAUUGUCAUUCUAAGAGAACAAGGGAGGUAUUCAUGGUGACUUCUGACACGUCUUUUUCUUGAAAAAUAGCACUGGUUGUAACUAUUUGUUCUCACUGUUCUUGUUGCAUUUAAUACAGGCAUAGGCAAACUCAGCCCUCCAGAUGUUUUGGGACUACAACUCCCAUCACCCUGACCACUGGUCCUGUUAGCUAGGGAUGGGAGUUGUAGUCCCAAAACAUCUGGAGGGCCGAGUUUGCCUAUGCCUGAUUUAGUAUCUCACAGAACUGGUCGCCCCAUAAGGUGGGGUGAGGCAGCCACCUCAAGCAGCACCCUCCAAGGCUUGUGGCCCCCAUUCUGCCCUCCCCCUUUUGCUGCUUGGUAUCUAGGCACAGAGAGGGAUGCUUUGCAUAGUGCAUCCCCUCCUGCUAAGUCAGGGAGAGGAGAGGUGGUCUAUCGCCCAGCUUUGCCUAGGGACAGCAGGGGAGGUUCCCCUCCCCGCCAUCCAGUAGUGUGGGCGGCCUCUCCUGAAGGGAGGAGCCAAUGCAAAGCUCUGCUUCCAGGGGUAGGAGAGCAUCCUGAAAGGAUCAUUCCCCCUGCCCAGUACGGGAGAGUCCACAAGGGCUUCUCAUGAAGGAGGAAAAGCUCAUACAGUAUUUGCCCCCGCAGCAGGACAUUUUACCUCAGGGGCCAAAACGCCUCAGGCUGUCCCUGCUCACUCAGCUACAGGUGCACCACUGUGCACUUGUAUGCUUGACAUUCCAGCAUCUGAUGGGGUCUGCAGUACAUGAUAGUCCAUAUAACCCCACCAUGCUAAAUGGGGGAGUUGGGAUUGGCUCCUUAGUCUAUAACCAUCUUCCAAGAAAAUAAGAAUUCUCAUGGUCAUCGCUUAUUGUUACACAGAAGCAGACCUGUAGCAUAAUUAUACUAUAUGAUGGUUACCUGCAUGGUAGUAAAGGAUGGCCCCAAAUUUCAGCAAUUUACCCUUUUUUUCUGUAACUAAAAGAAAUCAUGGAAUAAAAGAAAUCCCAUUAAAUCUAUUAUUUGGUGGGCUGUGAUCUACAAAAGCUCUUUCCGUAAUAAAUUCGUUAGUCUUUAACGUGUGGCGAGUCUCUUUGUCAUUCAAGUGCCAAGGAAACCAAUUGAUAAGAAAUCAAAUUAUGUGCAGGCCCCUCUGUGAGCUUGUCCUUACUUAUUUUUCAGCACCUGUUUUUGCCUGGCUGUGAAACUUCAUUUACCUUUUCAUCAGGAUACAGGAUUGGUGUGCAGAUCACAGAGAUGGUUGUUUGAAAUACGGAAAAUGAAAAAGAUGGCAUCGAAUAUUUAUUUUAUUUGUUUGGUUUAAGGAUUUAUAUGCCCCCCCCCACUUCAGUAUAACUAUUUCCUGUGUGGUUUACAGACAAAAGAAUGAAAUACAAAGUAAAUAAAAUACAGGCUGCAACAGCGCUGAGAACCAGAAGACAACAGAUAAAUGGUGCCUUAAAAAAACAGCCCUAGUUGUUUAGAUCUUUGUUUAUUAAACAUCUUUGGUGCAAAUAGUUCCCCGGGGCAGGUAAACAAAGCACAAACUUAAUACAAAUCUUCAAUAAAAAUCAAUAAAAUGACAAAACAGCAGCAAAUAAUACUGUGCCAAUAAAUAAAUAAAGGAGAGUUUUAAAUAUAAAAAUCACAAUAACUUGAUGUUUUCUGAUAUUAUACUGUGCUUCGCUACAGAUUUUUCUCUACACUGCCAAUGGUAGGGAGGACAACGGGUCCUGAAUGG